UGGGGAAUCUUCCGCAAUGGGCGAAAGCCUGACGGAGCAAUGCCGCGUGAACGAAGAAGGCCUUCGGGUUGUAAAGUUCUGUCCUAGCCGAAGAGAGAGGAAGGGAGUAACUGCCCUGCCUAGGACGGUAGGCUAGGAGGAAGCCCCGGCUAACUACGUGCCAGCAGCCGCGGUAAAACGUAGGGGGCAAGCGUUGUCCGGAAUCACUGGGCGUAAAGGGCGCGUAGGCGGCAAUAUAAGUCAGGUGUGAAAAGUGAGGGCUCAACCGUUAGAGUGCACCUGAUACUGUAUAGCUUGAGUAUGGGAGAGGGGAAGCGGAAUUCCUAGUGUAGCGGUGAAAUGCGUAGAUAUUAGGAAGAACACCAGUGGCGAAGGCGGCUUUCUGGCCCAAAAAGCUGACGCUGAGGCGCGAAAGCGUGGGGAGCAAACAGGAUUAGAUACC
rnacentral:rRNA from 1 species